GAUGAACGCUGGCGGCGUGCCUAAUACAUGCCAGUCGAGCGAACAGAUGAGGAGCUUGCUCCUCUGACGUUAGCGGCGGACGGGUGAGUAACACGUGGAUAACCUCCCUAUAAGACUGGGAUAACUUCUGGAAACCGGAGCUAAUACCGGAUAAUAUAUUGAACCGCAUGGUUCAAUAGUGAAAGACGGUUUUGCUGUCACUUAUAUAUGGAUCCGCGCCGCAUUAGCUAGUUGGUAAGGUAACGGCUUACCAAGGCAACGAUGCGUAGCCGACCUGAGAGGGUGAUCGGCCACACUGGAACUGAGACACGGUCCAGACUCCUACGGGAGGCAGCAGUAGGGAAUCUUCCGCAAUGGGCGAAAGCCUGACGGAGCAACGCCGCGUGAGUGAUGAAGGUCUUCGGAUCGUAAAACUCUGUUAUUAGGGAAGAACAAAUGUGUAAGUAACUAUGCACGUCUUGACGGUACCUAAUCAGAAAGCCACGGCUAACUACGUG
rnacentral:rRNA from 1 species